UCGGAUUUGGUUGAGAUUUAAUCUCAACCUUUGAAUACAAAUCAAAGUCAACCCUCAGAGAACUCAGUCACUCUCUCUCCAUCUCUCGAGCCUCGACUCGACCUCACCUCACCUUAGAGCUCAGAAGACUUAUCCGUCACCACCAGGGCCGGUCCUGAGUUUUUGGGUGCCCAAUGCAAAAGCUCAAAAUGUGCCCUUUUUUAACACUGAAACAUAUGUUUAAAAAAAUAUAUUUAACGAGGGCUGGAACUCAGUCGAAGCUGGAGGGUUAGGCCCUCACGCCCAAAUUAUAUUACUAGAGAAAAUAUACAACGGGGGACAUAAUACCUAAGGAUAAGUGAGAUUAUUUUCUUGAAUUGGUCCAUGUUCUACAAGUAAGUCUCUCAUUUCUACCUUAAGACCAUCCCAAACUCUUGGAUCAUAAAUGUUUAAAUGAAAAACAGGUUCAGGAGAUUCAAUAUUUUCCUCUACACCAAUAUGAUCAUCAUCAACAUUCAAAUCCACAUCACCACCAUUUUCAUGAUCUUAAGACUCAUCACCAACAUUUCUUCUAAAUCACUACCAUUUUCAUGAUCAUGAGACUCCCCAACAACAUUUUGUGACUCUUCACCAACAUCAUUUUCUCUCAAAUUUUUAACUGACUCGUUCUUUGUAGAGAAAAAUUUAUUAAGAGAUCAUCUUAAACUUUCGGCAAUUUCGUUAUCCUUUGCCUUUUUUUUCCUUUUCAUAUUACUAGAGAGUUGUUUCCUAAAAGACAUGGCUUCGAUAAUUUAUUUGCAAAAAUUACCUACACAUGAUAUAACAAAAAUUUCCUAUCAAAAUUAUCAUUCCAACACAUAUUAUAUAUUAUAAAAACAUUAACACAUAGUCUAACAUAUUAUAAAAAUUGAACCUAAAAAUUGGUUUUCAAAUGAAAUCAAAUAAUUCAAUUAGUCAAGAAUUCAAUUCAUCAACAACAACAAUUCUAUACAUCAUGUCAUAUAAUUCUAUGUCACUUGCAAAAUUUUAUAUUAAAUUAUGAAUUGAUAAUUCAAAUUUUAAAAAUUAAUUUACCUCAAAACUCAAAAGGGUUGGUGGUGAGUGAAUGAUAUUGCACUUGCAGCAGCCAAUGCCCAAUGGUGAAUGGGCUUGGUGUUGAGCUGAGGAGGAGGGACAGGGACCUCCUAUGUUGUCUGGCUGCGUGCAGCAGCUUGCAGUUGAAAAGGGAGUUUGGAAACAAUAAAUCACUUUCAAUGGAAUUGAGAGAAGGAAAAGGGAGUCAGGGUCAAGGAUGGCAGGGAGGGAAGUGGGGGAAGUGGCGAACAAAGGGGGGGGGGUGGGGAAUCAGGAAAGGAGUGUAAGCAUAUGGGAGUUAGGGUUAUUGGAGACCGAGUGGUCCUUGUAAUGUCGUUUUGUAUUUUUUUUUGUAACGCCCACAACCUUGGCCCUUUUUUCAUCUUUCUUGGGCUCUUGGCCUUCAGCCCUUAUUUGGGCUAUGGACUUUUUUUUUUGUGCCCCCCAUCUGUUUUGGGCCUUGGACAGCUGCCCCUGUGACAUUGGGCUUGGUCACCACCCUUCUCGCCGAUUUCUCCCUCCGUCUUCGAAUCCGGCCACACCCACACCACACAAAUGACUCACCUCUCUGAUCUCUCUCAAAUCAGAUAAAUUUUGGAAUUAAUUUAGGGUUCGAAUUCUAGAUUAGGGUUUGUGAAAUUUAGCACAUGGAGGUGGAACUGAUAUGAAAUUUAGUCCCUUUUGGCUAAAUUUCAACACUUUCUCAAAUUUCAAGAACUGGGGUUUGGGAUUUCAGCUAAAUUUUGAUUUUCCAAAGCAGAUUCUGUGCGCUUACUUCGUGGUGCUUCCGCUGCGCGAUGAGGGUGCAAUUUCCUUAGGUCUGUCGAGCCUGCCGAGCCUGUUUGUGGGGUCAUGGACCUUCACCUCCAUUGCCUCACCAGUUGCAACUCUCAUUUUCUCUCUGCCCAACGUUUCGAAAGGCAAGGUAUGUGUGGGUAUUUUCACCAUUUCUUCGAUAUGGGGAGCUUUGAAAGUCUUGUUUUUUGUGGUAAAGAUUGAUUAUUUUCAUGUGGGGUGUCUCUGUAACUUGUUAUUUUUGGUUGAAAACAAAAGGGUAUAGCUGGUUCUUGCCAGAUUUCGAUAUGCUGUGUUUCUGCCAUUUUUUCGAUAUGGGGAGUUCAAAAUGAUUGUUUUUGUGGUUAAAAUUGAUUCUUUUGAUAUGGGGUGUUUCUGUAUGGCGAGACUGGUUUUUCUCUCUACCCAUACCUAACAAGAAACAAGUAGUUGUCUUAUCGUUACUUCCCUUGCAACGUUUCUCUGGGGGGUUCUUGUUAAGUUUCUGCAGUCGAGGUGGUAAUUUUUAGCUGGAUGGUGUCAUAGUUAUUAGGUUAUAUAUUUAGGGGCAUAUGAUAUAUAACCCCAUUUGCUUUAAUACAUGGAUAUCCGUUAUGCAGUUUUUGGUGGAAGUAUUAGCAUCAAUAUUGGUAAAGAAUUAUGCAGUAUGUUAGGAUUGUGCCUAUAUCUCGGACACAGGAUUAGUUUUAAGAUGUAACAUUUCAGGUACUGCCGUGUAAUCUCUUUUCAUGAAGGCCACUGCUUGAAACGUGUGGGAAACAUUCCCUUGGAUGAAUACAAUGUUUCAGUAAUAUGAUGCAUGUGUCGUCCUAAUAUAAGCUUUCCGAGCUCUUGGGAUUUCUAUGAGUCAUGUCAGUGAGAUGUUCAUGCUUAUGAGUAAGUUGUAUCCUAGUAUAAGCUGUAUCCUUGGGAUUUCUAUGUAUGAAGUUAAAGGCUAAAAGCCCAAUAUGUAUGAAGUUAUGCACAGAUUGAUAUUGAUUGCACAUAUUGGGUUGGGUUAUAAAUCUAAAUUUUAAUAUAAAAGGCUAAAUUUUAGCCCAAAAGUCCAAACUAUUUCAGGAUUCUCGAAAAUUUGGUUUGGGAUCGGUCUUAACAUUGGAAUUCCCGAAAACAUCGGUUUGGGAAUCAGGACAAGGGUUUUGGUUCGGUAUCCCAUACCGAACCAGCCCUAACCGUAUCACUCCUUCGGUUUUGAUUGGGUUUAUGUUUGGGCUACUAAUUUGUAAUGUCCAUGAACUACAAAGCCCAGACAGAAUAAGCCCGGGCAUUAAACAGCCUACAGAUAUUAUGUCCACCAUACUCAAAUAAAAAAUCGUCGUGGUAAUUCACAAUCUCUCAAAUGUUAUUGUUUUUCAUACUCCUUUCUCUUUUUAGGUCGUGAAUCAUUUAACCAUUAUUAUACUACAGUUGUAAGUGAGAGUUCUCAGAUUCGACUCUUAUAAUGACGAAUUAAAUACCUAAUUAUGUUGUCAAUUAUAUACGGCUUUGCCCAAAUCUCUCAAAAAGGAGAAAAAGCUAAAGAAUAAUCGCUUAGCUGCACAAUAUGUAAAUUAUAGGAAAUUCUAAAGACACAUUUAUUUUCACUAGGAGUUUGCUUGAACUAAAAGAUUUCAGAUCAACAAAAUUUCUACGUAUAGUCAUUGAAAACUGCACAUACGCAUGCAUGAACGACACGAAUUUGAUACAUGAAAUAAGCAUGCAAAAUUUUGGAUUUGUGUAAAGUGACUUCCAAUUUAUGGUACAUAAAGUGGACUAUAGGGACAUUAUCCUCUCCCUAAACUCAAAAGCAAAGACCACAAAAUGAAUUCCUUUGGAAUAAAGGGCAGUCUCCUUUUUCGCCCAAAGUUAGGCAGCUCUCAACUACAGACAAAGACCCUUCAAUCCUCCCCAAACCUCCAUAUUCCUUUUCACCCUCUAGACAGUUUUUCUUAUGCACCCACACGUUGAUUAGGACACAACCCUCAAAUGUCCAAACGAAUCUAACCCUACAAUUAAGCUCUGCAUUAAUGGCCAUCACUAUCUUACUCAUCAAAUAUGGUUCUCGAUAUUUCAAGAAGAAUGCGAUACGCUUACUCGUCCACGCUUCUAUAGUUGAUUUGUGACCGCUGAUGCACUAGAUUUAAACAUGUGUUCGCUUCGGAUGACAGCACAACUCCAUGUGUAGAAGAUGUAUACACAUUUAGGGACCCAAUGGAUAGUGUUGAGGUGGAGGGGCAUCACGUCAAAGGUCUGGUGAGGACUCUGGGGAUUUUUGGGUCUCUACUCUUUUGAACUCAAAAGGUGUCUGUUUCUACUUUAUCCCAACCCAAAGGACCCAAAGCCUAAGCCGAAAAAAACCCCUUUGAAUACAAUGAAUAGUGUACAAAUUGGCAACCUCUCCAAAUGGAAUCAAAAAGGAGAAAGUGGAGCAAGCUUUACAGCCCAUCGUUCUUUUAGUUUUGUAGGAGAUUGAUUAGUUAUCGAGUAAUGCUAGGGAGACUAAAUAUGUAAACGAAAUUUUGUAAAUUAAAUGAUAUAAAAAGUUAAUGAUCGGAUUAUUACUUAAGUGUUGAUUAAUGUGUUUAUUUUUUAUUAGUGACACAUCAUUUAUUUUUCAAAUUUAGUCUACCUAGCACCACUCUUACUUAGCAGAUCAAUAUGGCAUUUUUUUAUUGCCAUGUACCACUAAAUACACCUAGGGGCUUAAGGUCUACGCCCAACCUACUAAAAAAAACUUGUCUAGGUUGAGUGAUAAGUAAAAUUAAGAAUAAUUAUUGUAGCAAGUGUAAUAUUUUGAUAACAAUUAUGAUAAUUAUUAUUAUAAUUUGAUGUCACAUGAACUUAAGAUUUGCUUAACUUUGAACGUAACACAAAUCUAACAAGUUAUUAAACGACUGGUCAAUGCAAGUUAUAUAUACCUCUAUGUGGCAAGAAGUCCCAGCUCAAAACUCAUCCCAAAUUACAUGAUCAUCUUCAACUCCUACGAUUACUCCCUACAUGGAAUCUUAGUCUCCUUUACUUUUUACUUCUUUGUCUUUCUGUUUUGGCCAGAUUUCAAGCCCUACUUCCCUUAAUAUGUUUACUUAAUUGACAACAUUUGUUUAAAAUUAGAUGUUUAUGACU
rnacentral:lncRNA from 1 species